UUCAUGUCUCAAUGGAGCAGACAAAAUCAAGGAUAACUGGAAGAUUUGCCUUGUGAAGCAGCAACAGAAAAAUGAUCUAAAGCCAGGAAUGGAGAAGUGAAUAUCUAUCUAUCUAUCUAACUUACACAUUCUUGUCAAAGUCAUAUUUACAGUCACUUCAUAGAUUGACACACACACAAAAAAAACCAGGACCUUUACUAAAUGACAGGUGUAUAUACUUUUUUUGUCAAAACAAAUUUCCUUGCCCUGUAUUGCUAAUUUUUAAUUCAUUUAUGGUACUCAUCAGAUUGACAUUGAUUCACCCUAUCAUCCUCCUUAGUUGAGACCCCAUUUUUUUCUAUAUUUUAGUCUACUAUUUGAAUAUCUUUUCUUCUCACCAUAAAUACACAUUAACACAAAUUAACUGCUUAAUCUGCCCAUCCUUCAUUUCUACCUUUAUUUAGAGCUAUAUAUGUCCGUAAGCAUUAAAGUUGUGUUGUAUGUGCUUUUAAAUAUAUAUGUACAAUACAUAUUUAAUACACACAUUCUACUGCAACUUGCUUUUUCACUCAGCAAUUUUUAUUUACAAUCUAGUGGAAAGAGAAUGGUGAGAACAGCAGGAGGUAUUUGAGUGUUACCUUAAGGUUCAAGCUUCUCUGAGAUUGCAAACUACCUCUCCCUACAAAAAAGUCAAGAUAUUUAUGCAUCAAUACCCCUUAGCAAUGUGACUGUUGGUAAUCACAUCAAAAGGAUAUAAUUCUUCCUGGAACUUGAAUGGGAACCUCGUUGUGAAUAAAAAGAGUUAGAGAGAUUAUAUUGCCACCAUGGAAGAGGAGGAGCUGGAAGGAGAUUCUGAAGCCUUGGGACAAAGCUGGUGCUGCGGCAGUCAGAGCAGAGAGACAGAAUGAUGCCACUGAUUGCUGUGCUUUUGGAGACUGUUCUACUUCUGAAUUUCCAAUUCAGUGAAAUAAUGCCUGUCCUCAUUUAUUAGCCUUUUAGAGUUGGGUUUUCUGGUUUGCUUUGUUUAAAGUAUUCAAAAUGGCACAUACUUCUACUUAGCUUUAAUGUUUCUUCUUUUUAUUUAUCUUAGGCUCUGCUGCUGUCCUGUCCAUAAGGUUAUUUGUUGGUAAAAUAUUAAACUACAGGAAACAUAACAGCCUCAGAAAAGCAUGACUCAACAUGAGCCUGGGACAACUCAGGGUCUCUCUACUGUGCACAGCAUUUGUUCUGCUUUCAAGGCUCCCCACAGCAUCUGAAGCUUUACAUCCCUGGAGGCAACUGCCCAUAUGUUUACCUUUAUUACCAACUGCAGUUUCCAGGCAUCUGCUAAAUUACAAUUUUGAGUGCUUAAUGGUGAUUUCAUUUGUGUAAAAAAAAAGCGGGGAGACUCUUUGCCCCUCAUUAACUUAGAAUGGCAUUGCACCACACCGUAGAGCUGGCAUAUAGGUAUAUUGAAAGAAGUGGGUAGAGCUAAGAGGAUUAGAAGCUUAUGUGUGCCGUGAGGAGGUAAGAAUCAGGUUGUGUUCAUGUGUGUUUAUGUCCUUUCUUGGAACAAUAAAGUAAACAGAUUUUCUCCUCUGAGAGAAAGAAAGUUUCAAUAAUAUAGAAAUAGCUUUGCCCCUAUCUAGGGCCCUUAUGUCUUUUUAACCCCAAGGGGCAUAUCACAGAGUGUAUAGGAGAAUAUGGCAAUAUAUCAAAGGCGAUAAAGGCCACAGAGCUACAGAUGUUCCCCCAUCCUAUGCAAGCUGCUUCUCUAUAGAGCCUUCCAUUCUGCAAAGCUUCCAGCUUGUUCUGUCAUAGCACCUGAUUAGACAGCCGUGCCUCCAACACUCUUGGCUGUCCUUUCUUUCCUUGGUUAACUUCUCUUGUCAGUGCAGUUGAGUUAUCAACAUGGUAUAAGUGUUACAUCAAUACCAUUUCAGAAAUAAAACACUAGCCAUGCAAAGGCUGAAGCAAAUUGUUUUCCAACUAAAUGCUGGCAGCCUGCUCUUAUAGAUUAAGACCAGGUUUCUCCACAAAGCACUGAAGCAGCAAAUUUAAAAGGAGGCAAAUAGAACAUAGACUAUAUAGCAACAGAGAUAAAACAGUUCAUUACCUAGCUAAUGUUUGCAUUUUUCUGCUUUAGAGCAUGUAAAAAAUUAGAGAUAACAAAAUGACACUUAAUAGACGCUGGACAUGUAGAGGGAAAUGUAGCUUUUAAAGACAUUUUUCUUCUAUUCCUGGCAAAAGUAAGCGAGGGAAAGGUGAAUGUAGCAGGUACAAAUCACACAGGCAGAAAAUACAGAGGAAAGACCUAAAGCCUAACUCAAUUCUAUGGAUUUUAAUUAUGGAAAUCUGGCCAAGUCACUCCCCUCCUUGCAGGGAUUGUUAUUACUUUAUUAUGAAAAAAUUGAAACAGUUGUCUUCUCUACUGCACAGGGUUGUGGCAAAAACAAAAUGGCAUUGUGAAUGUAAAAGUUCAUUAAAAACUCUAAAAUGUGAUAGCAUA